rnacentral:rRNA from 1 species
CCCUAUGGGGUGCAGCAGGCGAGAAACCUUUGCAAUGUGCGCAAGCACGACAAGGUUAAUCCGAGUGUUUCCUGCUUAAGGAAUCUUUUGUUAGUUGUAAAACCACUGAUGAAUAAGGGGUGGGCAAGUUCUGGUGUCAGCCGCCGCGGUAAAACCAGCACCUCAAGUGGUCAGGAUGAUUAUUGGGCCUAAAGCAUCCGUAGCCUGUUCUAUAAGUUUCCGGUUAAAUCCAUUAGCUCAACUAAUGGGCUGCCGAAAAUACUGUAGAACUAGGGAGUGGGAGAGGUAGACGGUACUCGGUAGGAAGGGGUAAAAUCCUUUGAUCUAUUGAUGACCACCUGUGGCGAAGGCGGUCUACCAGAACACGUUCGACGGUGAGGGAUGAAAGCUGGGGGAGCAAACCGGAUUAGAUACCCGGGUAGUCCCAGCUGUAAACGAUGCAGACUCGGUGAUGCCCUGGCUUGUGGCCAGUGCAGUGCCGCAGGGAAGCCGUUAAGUUUGCCGCCUGGGAAGUACGUACGCAAGUAUGAAACUUAAAGGAAUUGGCGGGGGAGCACCACAAGGGGUGAAGCCUGCGGUUCAAUUGGAGUCAACGCCAGAAAUCUUACCCGAAGAGACAGCAGAAUGAAGGUCAAGCUGGAGACUUUACCAGACAAGCUGAGAAGUGGUGCAUGGCC